GGCCGUAUGGCGCAACGGUAGCGCGUCAGAUUCCAGUUAUCUUGGGACAUCCUGAAGGUUUUGCGUGUUAGUACCACUGAUGUACGAUUCGUGAGACGUUGCUAACGUGCCGUGAAGUCGAAUCGCAAUAUGGUCA